rnacentral:rRNA from 1 species
CGUUCGGGGGUAAACGGACAGAGCCCGUGAAUCCGGGCGACGGAAUUCAGAAUCGACGAUGUUCGCGCGUCGUCGGUUUGAUAUUUCCGUCGCCGUGACAAUGUACGGACGUCGCGACCCGUUCGGUGUCGGUCCGAGGAGACGUGUAAAAGUUCGCCGACGUUGCGUCCAUUCGUGGGUGCGCGUCGACGAGUGCGCGUUCUUGUUUUCUGGCCGACUCGCCGGACGGUACGCGUAACGGUGGCCGCGGCGACCUUUUUUCGAGCGUCGUCGUCGGUACCGGUCUGCGACGAAUCUUCGGGCCUCUUUCCGACCCGUCUUGAAACACGGACCAAGGAGUCUAACGUGCGCGCGAGUCGCGGGGUGUCGAGCGGUUGGCGGCGUUCCUUGUGGGCGUCGUCGGCCGUUCGUUACAAUACGAAACCCGUCUCGUUUUACGAAAGGCGCAAUGAAAGUGAAAUUUUUUGGGGAAGAUGACGUUACCGAGUUCACGUUUCGCGCUCUGUGUAGCGCGGCCGGUCGUCCGCAUUCCCAGGGCGUCUCAACGGCCCGGCGGCGUUGCGGAUCGUCGUUCCUUCGGGGGCGGCGGUCGGGCGUCGUCGAACCGAGGCGCACCUAUAGCGUGCACGUUGGUACCCGAAAGAUGGUGAACUAUGCCCGGCCAGGAUGAAGUCAGGGGAAACCCUGAUGGAGGUCCGCAGCGAUUCUGACGUGCAAAUCGAUCGUCUGAGCUGGGUAUAGGGGCGAAAGACUAAUCGAACCAUC